ACACGACUACAUUAGAUACCCGUGUAGUCCUAGCCGUAAACGAUACUCGCUAGGUGUCGGCCACGGUGCGACCGUUGUCGGUGCCGUAGGGAAGCCGUGAAGCGAGCCACCUGGGAAGUACGGCCGCAAGGCUGAAACUUAAAGGAAUUGGCGGGGGAGCACCGCAACGGGAGGAGCGUGCGGUUCAAUUGGAUUCAACGCCGGACAACUCACCGGGAGCGACGGUUACGUGAAGGCCAGGCUGAUGACCUUGCCUGAUUUUCCG
rnacentral:rRNA from 1 species